rnacentral:rRNA from 1 species
UUGCACGCUGGCGGCAUGCCUUACACAUGCAAGUCGCACGGUAACAGGUCUUCGGAUGCUGACGAGUGGCGAACGGGUGAGUAAUACAUCGGAACGUGCCCGAUCGUGGGGGAUAACGAAGCGAAAGCUUUGCUAAUACCGCAUAAGAUCUACGGAUGAAAGCAGGGGACCGCAAGGCCUUGCGCGAACGGAGCGGCCGAUGGCAGAUUAGGUAGUUGGUGGGAUAAAAGCUUACCAAGCCGACGAUCUGUAGCUGGUCUGAGAGGACGACCAGCCACACUGGGACUGAGACACGGCCCAGACUCCUACGGGAGGCAGCAGUGGGGAAUUUUGGACAAUGGGCGAAAGCCUGAUCCAGCCAUGCCGCGUGCAGGAUGAAGGCCUUCGGGUUGUAAACUGCUUUUGUACGGAACGAAAAGACUCUGGUUAAUACCUGGGGUCCAUGACGGUACCGUAAGAAUAAGCACCGGCUAACUACGUG